AUUCUGGCUCAGGAUGAACGCUGGCGGCAUGCCUAAUACAUGCAAGUCGAACGGAGUGAAGCCUUCGGGUUUCAUUCAGUGGCGAACGGGUGAGUAAUACGCAGGGAACCUGGCCAUGGCAGGGGGAUACACUCUGGAAACGGAGCAUAAGACCCCAUAGGCAGUAAGGCGGCAUCGCCUUACUGUUAAAGAAAGCUGAAAGGCUUUGGCGAUGGAUGGACCUGCGGUGCAUUAGCUUGUUGGUGAGGCAACGGCUUACCAAGGCGAUGAUGCAUAGCCGGCCUGAGAGGGCGGACGGCCACACUGGGACUGAGACACGGCCCAGACUCCUGCGGGAGGCAGCAGUAGGGAAUUUUCGUCAAUGGGCGCAAGCCUGAACGAGCAAUGCCGCGUGAGUGAGGAAGGUCUUCGGACUGUAAAGCUCUGUUGCCGGGGAAAAAGGGGAAAUGCAGGAAAUGGCAUUUCAUGGAUGGUACCCGGCCAGAAAGCCACGGCUAACUACGUGCCAGCAGCCGCGGUAAUACGUAGGUGGCGAGCGUUAUCCGGAAUGAUUGGGCGUAAAGGGUGCGCAGGCGGUCUGUUAAGUCUGAAGGCAAAGGGAUGAGCUCAACUCAUUUAUGAUUCAGAAACUGGCAGACUUGAGGACAGGAGAGGGCGGUGGAACUCCAUGUGUAGCGGUAAAAUGCGCAGAGAUAUGGAAGAACACCAGUGGCGAAGGCGGCCGCCUGGCCUGUGACUGACGCUGAGGCACGAAAGCGUGGGGAGCAAAUAGGAUUAGAUACCCUAGUAGUCCACGCCGUAAACGAUGAGGAGCAGGUGUUGGGAGUGAAAUCUCAGUGCCGAAGCCAACGCAGUGACUCCUCCGCCUGGGGAGUAUGCACGCAAGUGUGAAACUCAAAGGAAUUGACGGGGGCCCGCACAAGCGGUGGAGUAUGUGGUUUAAUUCGAAGCAACGCGAAGAACCUUACCAGGUUUUGACAUCGGAUGCGAAGGCGCAGAGAUGCGCUGGAGGCUAUCAUCCAGACAGGUGGUGCAUGGUUGUCGUCAGCUCGUGUCGUGAGAUGUUCAGUUAAGUCUGGCAACGAGCGCAACCCCCGUGGUAUGUUACUAACGCAUUUGGGCGUUGGACUCAUAUCAGACUGCCGGUGACAAACCGGAGGAAGGCGGGGAUGACGUUAAAUCAUCAUGCCCCUUAUGACCUGGGCUACACACGUACUACAAUGGCGUCUACAGAGGGAAGCGACCCUGAGAAGGGAAGCGAAACCGGAAAAGGGCGUCCCAGUUCGGAUUGAAGUCUGCAACCCGACUUCAUGAAGAUGGAAUCGCUAGUAAUCGCGGAUCAGCAUGCCGCGGUGAAUACGUUCCCGGGCCUUGUACACACCGCCCGUCAAACCAUGGAAGCCGGCAACGCCCGAAGCCGGUGGCAUAACCUUUUAGGGGUGAGCCGUCGAAGGCGGGGCCGAUGACUGGGGUUAAGUCGUAACAAGGUACCC
rnacentral:rRNA from 1 species